rnacentral:rRNA from 1 species
GACGAACGCUGGCGGCGUGCUUAACACAUGCAAGUCGAACGGUGAAGCGCCUUCCUUUUUGGUGGGUGUGGAUGAGUGGCGAACGGGUGAGUAACACGUGAGUAACCUGCCCCCUUCUUCUGGAUAACCGCAUGAAAGUGUGGCUAAUACGGGAUAUUCUGGGUCUGUCGCAUGAUGGGUCUGGGAAAGAUAUUGUUUCGGUGGGGGAUGGGCUCGCGGCCUAUCAGCUUGUUGGUGGGGUGAUGGCCUACCAAGGCGGUGACGGGUAGCCGGCCUGAGAAGGUGGACGGUCACACUGGGACUGAGACACGGCCCAGACUCCUACGGGAGGCAGCAGUGGGGAAUAUUGCACAAUGGGCGCAAGCCUGAUGCAGCGACGCCGCGUGAGGGAUGGAGGCCUUCGGGUUGUGAACCUCUUUCGCCAGUGAAGCAGGCCUGCCUCGUUUGUGGGUGGGUUGACGGUAGCUGGAUAAGAAGCGCCGGCUAACUACGUG